rnacentral:rRNA from 1 species
UACGUAGGGUGCAAGCGUUGUCCGGAAUUAUUGGGCGUAAAGAGCUCGUAGGCGGUUUGUCGCGUCUGCUGUGAAAGACCGGGGCUGCAACUCCGGUUCUGCAGUGGGUACGGGCAGACUAGAGUGCAGUAGGGGAGACUGGAAUUCCUGGUGUAGCGGUGAAAUGCGCAGAUAUCAGGAGGAACACCGAUGGCGAAGGCAGGUCUCUGGGCUGUAACUGACGCUGAGGAGCGAAAGCAUGGGGAGCGAACAGG